rnacentral:rRNA from 1 species
UACGGGGGGGGCAAGCGUUGUUCGGAAUUACUGGGCGUAAAGGGCGCGUAGGCGGCCUUCUAAGUCGAACGUGAAAUCCCUAGGCUCAACCUAGGAACUGCGUCCGAUACUGGGAGGCUUGAAUCCGGGAGAGGGAUGCGGAAUUCCAGGUGUAGCGGUGAAAUGCGUAGAUAUCUGGAGGAACACCGGUGGCGAAGGCGGCAUCCUGGACCGGUAUUGACGCUGAGGCGCGAAAGCCAGGGGAGCAAACGGGG